AGCAGCCGCGGUAAUUCCAGCUCCAAUAGCGUAUAUUAAAGUUGUUGCAGUUAAAAAGCUCGUAGUUGAAUUUCGGGAUCAAUAUAUUGGUCGUGCCUCCGGUACGUACUGGUAUCGUUGAUUUCUACCUUCUGACGAACCAUGAUGUCAUUAAUUUGGUGUCAUGGGAAAUCAGGACUGUUACUUUGAAAAAAUUAGAGUGUUUAAAGCAGGCACACGCUUGAAUACAUUAGCAUGGAAUAAUGAAAUAGGACGUUUGACCCUAUUUUGUUGGUUUCUAGGAUCGACGUAAUGAUUAAUAGGGAUAGUUGGGGGCAUUAGUAUUCAAUUGUCAGAGGUGAAAUUCUUGGAUUUAUUGAAGACUAACUACUGCGAAAGCAUUUGCCAAGGAUGUUUUCAUUAAUCAAGAACGAAAGUUAGGGGAUCGAAGACGAUCAGAUACCGUCGUAG
rnacentral:rRNA from 1 species